rnacentral:tRNA from 1 species
GGGGAUUUAGCUCAGCGGCAUAAGCGCCUGCCUUGCACGCAGGCAGUCGUGAGUUCAAUCCCCG